ACCUUAGGAAGCAGUGAGCCCAACAGAGAAGAGAGAAGCAGGGUAAAGGGGAGGGAGCACCCAGGUGGGGAGCCCAUGAUUUUAAGUAGAAUGUCCUGCAAGGGCCUCUCUGGGAAGAUGGCUCCUGAGUGGAGUCCUGAGAGGCAAAGGGAAGAGCAUUUCAGGCUGAAGGACUCACAAGUGGAAAGGUCCUGGGGCUGGAGUGUGCCUGGGGCUUUCAAAGGCUUUGAAGCAGCCCCUGUGUGUGGGGCAGAUAAAUGGAUAUGAUCUCAGCAAGUAUGAGAUAAGAAAGACCCUGUGGGUCUUGGUGAGGACAUGAGGACAUGUAGACAGAAGGGAAUGACAUGCCCUGGCUCAUCCGGGAACAGUAUGGCCCUGCCUGCCCCUGUGGGGGGUCGGGGGUGGUUGCAGGCAGCUGGGAGGUCGUUGCAGAGGGCGGGACACACUGGUGCAAGGGGUAGGAGGGACGGGAUUCUGGUUAGGUCUAAACACAGAAGACCAAGACUUUUGUCUCACCCCAAAUAGUAGUUAUCGAAUGCUGACUUUAGGGGGAUCCACCAGAAUUGCUUAGCUCUCUCCGCAGUUGAUGGCGAGAACCAGCGAAGGGCUCCAGGUUCAUCCUGGCCUUCCUAGGAUCUUUCCGAGGGAUUUACCAUAAACGAGGCCGAGCGCUCACGGAGAAGAUUCCCUGCACCCUGCGAUUCUCCGUCAUCCUCUCGGUCACCGCCUCCGGAGGUUUCCCAAGGUGCUGACAAAAGCCAACCGUCUCCACAUGUGUCCUCCCUGCCGCGAGAAGGUGUUGGCGCCCCGGCGAUCCGCAGAGACCCAAGGCAAGUGCGGGCGCGGGCAGGGCCCAGAAGGACGGACCUGCCAAACCUGCUCCUCUCGUCGGCUGCUGAGCCAGAGGGAGUCUCAGGUCAGCCAAGCUCCUCCGCGACAAGGAAGGCCAAUGGCAUGGCGACGUCCCCGGGAGAGCAGUCUUCGGUGCCUGAGCUUUGAAUCGUGGAGCAAGUCACGGGGCUUGAGGAAGCAGACAGCCCGCGGCAGCCCAGGUUUGGAGGGCUAGGGCCCCCUCCCGCCCCUGCCCCGUCCUACCUGGCCACGGAGGGACACCAUACCCCAGCCCACCGUGAGGGGCGCCCGUGGAACCCAGCGUGAGCAUCUCUGGGUGAGCACUCGCUGCAGCCUGGGCUCCUCGUGGGGAUCGUGGGGGGCCGUUCCCGUGUCACGAGGACCUCUGGCCACUCUUUUCCACUUCUCUUACUUGACGAGGCUGGUUAGCUCUGGCUUUCCAGCGUUUUUAGCGCACAGACCUCUUCGGGAGGCACUUGACUCCACCUGGUCCGGCUUGUUAUUCCAAAUGAAAAGAACCAAAUCACAGGGAUGCAGGUGUCUGAGAGGAAGGCCCCCCGUCUACGCCCAAGGUCAUCACUGCUGCACUGGCAAUGAUGGGGAAAAAGUGGAAGGGACCUAAUGCUGGCCCACAGGCCGCUGUGCUUUGCUCAUAUCAUUGAAUCCAGCCAUAGGUAAACAAAGGAAGGAGUAUGUGUCAGGUGCACGCACCCACCUGCCAGACCUCAGGGACGCGGAGCUGGAGCCGCAAGCUAGCAGCAUGCCCAGUCUGACACUGUUACAGAAGGUUAGAGUCAACAGUAAAGAUACUGUUUAUGUACAGUCGCUCUUUGCACAAAAGAAUCCGGUAAAAGUGGGUGCCUAUUUGUAGACACGUACAGGUGUAGGUCGUGGCCUGGCAUGGUCCUCCGGGCACAGACGGAUGCCAGGCUGCAGCCAGCGGGACCGGGGUGACUCCUCAGUGAGGAACCUGAGGUGCCCACUGCUGCUUCUGCGUGACCGGUGCAUGGGUAUGUUGUGCGCCUGCGGGACUUUUUAAAUAGGCUCGAACUAGGGGCUCCUGGGUGGCUCAGACUGGAGAAUCUGACUCUUGAUUUCAGCUCAGGUCAUGAUCUCAGGGUUGUGAGAUUGAGCCCGGCGUCAGGCUCUGCACCGACUCUUGCUCUCUAAAAAACAACAGGGCAGCCCGGAAGGCUCAGCGGUUUAGCGCCGCCUUCAGCCCAGGGCCUGAUCCUGGAGACCCGGGAUCGAGUCCCACGUCGGGCUCCCUGCAGGGAGCCUGCUUCUUCCUCUGCUUGUGUCUCUGCCUCUCUCUCUGUGUCUCUCAUAAAUAAAUAAAUAAAAUCUUUAAAAAAAAUGAAACAAAAAAAUAAAAAACAAUGACAAAAUAUAUGCUUGAACCAGUCCAGGAUUUAUAAGCAUUUUAGGAUGAUUUAGAUGGAUUAAUGGUCUAGUGACCUUGUGCCAGGGCCAGGAGGGAGGAAAGAGACUUAGGCAGGGACACAGCUAUGGGGGUGGCUCAUUGCAGAGCCGAGGGUGCCCAGGGCAUAUUCCGCGGGUGAGAGGCUGGGUGGUGCCCUCCAAGGUCUUCCCAACAGAGGAUUAGGCACCGUCAACACCCCUUCCCCCAGGGCCCCUGUUCAGGUACUUUAAGGGUGAGCAGCUUCACGAUCUCUACCUAGACAGACUGAGAGCUUGUGACCCUAGCCAGGGAGUUUGCCCAGACCCAGGGCAGCUGAGCCCCUUCAGACACCUGCCCAUCUUUCAUCCACACCCCUGCCGGCCAAGAGCUGGUGCGCUUUACGACUUACUGAGUCCUUGGUUUUAUUUAUUUUAUUUUAUUUUUUUAAAUUUUAUUUAUUCCUGAGAGACACAAAGAGAGAGGCAGAGACACAGGCAGAGGGAGAAGCAGCCUCCCUGCGGGGAACCCGAUGCAAGACUCGAUCCCAGGACCCGGGGUCACACCCUGAGCCGAAGGCAGGCACUCAACCACUGAGCCCCCCGGGCAUCCCUGUUUUAGUUUAAAAAUGCUUUGGAAUAUUCCUUUCCAAGGGGUCAUUCCCUAGCACAUAUCCUGAGUGUCUCAGGACAAGUGUCCUGAUUUUUCACACCAAGGGAAAGCGGUGUGUUUUCUUCUUUCCCUCAGCCCUACUUCCCAGCUGAUCGCCCCCAACCCCCUCACUGGGACUGUAGGUGCCUCCUCGGGUUGCUGGGGUGCCAGAUGGGGCCUCCAAACCCUCCCAUUUAUUCCAGGACAGUGUCCCUCGACCUUCUGCCAUCCUCGUCCCUAAGGAGCCUUGGGAGACAUCUCCCUCCCUGUGCUCCCGCGAGAUACCAUCACAGGUGUACUGAACAUCUGUUUAUGCACAACUGUGCUUUGCACAUAUAAGAAUUUUCACCCAAGAACCAGUUUUCGACCCUUGGGGGCUCUAUCGCCCCCGUGGAGAAUGCAUGUUCUAGAUCAAUCUUGUAAACCAGCUUCCCGGUGAGGGCAGUUCCCUGCGCUUUAAAGGCAAAUGCACUGUCUUCCUGAAACCAAAAGAAACCAGUUCUGCUCUUCUCCAGAUAGACGAGGAAUUGAUUUGAAAUCAUCCAUAAGGAUGGAUCCUCAAUAAUCACCACCGGCCCCCUUGCCCCGAUCAUGGGGCACCAGGGCCAGGGUGAGCUCACCAUCCUCUCCAGAUGGCUCGUUUCCUCCCUGCCCCAAUGACCUGGGGAAAGGGGGUUUGAUUGGAAAGGCCUCCACGUGUUCCAGCCUCUGUGG
rnacentral:lncRNA from 1 species